rnacentral:misc_RNA from 1 species
GUGAGUCAUCGAAUCUUUGAACGCACAUUGCGCCCCUUGGUAUUCCGGGGGGCACACCUGUUCGAGCGCCAUUUCGACCCUCAAGCAUAGCUUGGUGUUGGGCACGGUCCUAGGGGACCUGCCCGUAACUCGUAGGCGGCCACCGCCCGCGCCCCCAGCGUAGCAAGCUCACGCGUUCGCUCGGGGACGGUGCGCCUGGCAAGCCCAAAACAAUUUUCAAGGUUUGGCCUCGGAUCAGGUGGGGAUACCCGCUGAACUUAAGCAUAUCAAUAAGCGGAGGA